GAUAUUUCUCCCUAAUUCUUGCUGCUUCAGCACACCUAUUCUCUAUAGAUAAAGGAACCAUGAAUUUUCUUUACGGUAUUUUCAUCAUUGACUUCCAUGAGAAAAUUGUAAAAAAUAAAAUUUAGGAAGAGUUUCCCAAAACUAAAUAUUAUCCAUCCAUCUUUUCAAAAAAAAAAAAAAUAUUAUCCAUCCAUCACCAAUGCUACUAUAAAAUUACUGAUUACACAAUAAAUAGGACUAACCCGAUUGACCCGACCCGACUUGACUUUUAUCGUGUUUUUAUUUGAUCGUGUUGGUGUUAACGGGUUUGUUUUUUGCUUUCAACCUAUCCAUAUAUAAAUCCAUGCUUAUGUUCAGUUAUCCAACCCUCCUCCCAAAGUCUCAAACGCUGCUUAGUUACGAGUGAUGCCCCAUCAGCGGCCGCGAUGAUUUGUUCGUCUUGGGCAUGCACAGUGGCGGCGGUGGGCAAGGUGGACCCUGGAGCACAAGACGGCUUCAUCAGCGUCGGAGAAGUUGAAGCAAGCACUAUUAGCUGUGAUGGUGCUAAUGGCGGUGGAAGUAACCGAAGGUUAAAAUCAAAUCUUUCGAUACUGAGGAGGAGAAACCGAAGCUUUCCCAAAUUUAGGUAAGCAUUGCCAGCAACCAGAUUGCCAUCAACUCAAUUUUCUCCCUUUUAAAUGCGACGGUUGUCGAAAGGUUAUCGUUUGCGAGAAUUGCUUGAUGUCGAUUGAGACAACGAGGCGGGAUGGAGAGGACGAGAAUGUGAUGUUGGAGAGGCAUGAGAAGUCAGGGAACUGCGACCCCAAGAAGAAGAACAAAUCGACGUGCCACGUAAUGCAGACGUUUUCGAAUACACGCAUGUGGGUUUUUUCUCCGUAUUUGAAUAGAAUCUGUUGUGGUUUUGUUGUUUGGCUCGUGAGAAAAUGGAGGAAAAAAGGAAUCUGACGUUGAGUAAAGAAAAAUGAAAUGGGUUCCUGUUGUUGUCAGGUCACUCGCUUUUUGUUUUAGUCGGGUCGGUUACUUGGCAUCUGGUAUGCUGUUUUUGGUCACGUUGGGCCCAAACCCAAUUGGGACAGAUCGAGUUGCAGGCCUAAAUAGGAGUGCCGGAUUUUGUCACCUGUAUAGAGAAUACGGCGGAAUCUGAAUAAGUUUGCUGGUGAGUGUAGGAAAAUGGACGGUCCACGUUUUCAAGAUUGAGAUGCCAGGCUUCAGCUUGAGAUGAUAUCCAUGACAGAAGUGGGCCUCAAGCCUGUCUUGGAAAGGACAUCACAUAAUCAAACAAAGAUCUUAGAAUGAAUAGAUCAACACAAACUUACUUGCUGGCUCCAUAGAAUGAAUAAAUUAAUGUUGUUUUGGCAGCACUGCCUAUUCAAUUCCCUACCGUUUAAAUCUUCAAAGUUGGUAGAAAAUAACAAGCAAUAAAGCUAGUUUUUUUAAAUUGGUAAACCUGAAUGAGGACACAUAGAUAUAGACAUAAUUAGUAGGGGUGUAACUGGUCUGUUUGAUUCGAUUUUGGACAAAAUCUAAAACCGAACCGAUAAUACCAGUUUUACAUUUUUUAAAACUGAUUACACAUUAGUUAUCUUUUUAAACUAGUACUUCUGAUUUUAUUGACUCCGGUCCAAUUCGGUCCAGUUUUAAUAUAUUAAGUAUA